UACGUAGGGACCGAGCGUUGUCCGGAAUCAUUGGGCGUAAAGAGCGUGUAGGCGGCUCGGUAAGUCCGCUGUAAAAGUCAAAGGCUCAACCUUUGAAUGUCAGUGGAUACUGCCGGGCUAGAGUCCGGAAGAGGCGAGUGGAACUCCUGGUGUAGCGGUGGAAUGCGCAGAUAUCAGGAAGAACACCAACGGCGAAGGCAGCUCGCUGGGACGGUACUGACGCUGAGACGCGAAAGCGUGGGGAGCGAACAGG
rnacentral:rRNA from 1 species